GUUACUUAAACCACAUUUUGGGCAGCCAUUUUCAUCAAAAAACCAGGUAGUUAUCUCACUACCUACACGUUUUAAAUCAUAUGAAUUGAUCAUAACCCCAUUAUCGUCAUAUUCGACUAGUGAAACAAUCUGGAAUGGUGACGGAUGACUUGAUCAUAACCCUAUUAUCGUCAUAUUCGACUAUAAAUAUCCUGAAAAAGUUGAAAGUCCGGCUUGAUGAUAUUGAGAGACAUGAGAUAACGAUUGGCUUGGAAGAGGGUUUAAGAAUUCUGAAUACAUCGCUACGAUCUAAAUCGACUUUGACUCAUCUCAUUGAGCAUCAACUGAAGAAGUAAACUUGGAGUUUUAAUGUCUCUCUGAUUGGAAAGUGUUCUUUGUUUUUCCUGCUUGUUUCAGUUUUAAAAACUGACAGUAGAAUGUUUUAACUUGAUUGCUUAUUAGAUACAUGUUUGCUUAAAAAAACUUUGGGAUUGCCUUC